GACGAACGCUGGCGGCGUGCCUAACACAUGCAAGUCGAACGAUGAAGUUCCUUCGGGAAUGGAUUAGUGGCGAACGGGUGAGGAACACGUGAGAAACCUGCCUUUCAUUUUGGGAUAACUCCGGGAAACCGGGGCUAAAACCGAAUACUCCGUCUCGGCGGCAUCGCUGAGCCGGGAAAAGAUUUUGAUGAAAGAUGGUCUCGCGGCCUAUCAGCUAGUUGGUGAGGUAAUGGCUCACCAAGGCAACGACGGGUAGCCGGCCUGAGAGGGCGACCGGCCACACUGGGACGGAGACACGGCCCAGACUCCGACGGGAGGCAGCAGUGGGGAAUAUUGGGCAAUGGGCGCAAGCCUGACCCAGCGACGCCGCGUGAGGGAUGAAGGCCUUCGGGUUGUAAACCUCUUUCAGUAGGGAAGAAGCGAAAGUGACGGUACCUAAAGAAGAAGCACCGGCUAACUAUGUGCCAGCCGCCGCCGUAA
rnacentral:rRNA from 1 species